UAUCUCUGUAGAGUCUGCAUAUCAAUAAGCGGAGGAAAAGAAACUAACAAGGAUUCCCCUAGUAACGGCGAGUGAAGCGGGAAGAGCUCAAAUUUGAAAUCUUCAAGGUUUGACCUUGACGAAUUGUAGUUUAAAGAAGUGUUUUCGGUUAGAGGAGUAGUAAAAGUUCUUUGGAAUAGGACAUCAUAGAGGGUGAGAAUCCCGUAUUUGACUAUUCUUUCUAGCUUUGUGAUACACUUUCAAAGAGUCGGAUUGUUUGGGAAUGCAGUCCAAAAUGGGUGGUAAAUUUCAUCUAAAGCUAAAUAUUGGCGAGAGACCGAUAGCGAACAAGUACCGUGAGGGAAAGAUGAAAAGAACUUUGAAAAGAGAGUUAAACAGUACGUGAAAUUGUCAAAAGGGAAGCGUUUGACACCAGUGUUGUUUUUCCGAAAAUCAAUUAAAAAUAGAUUCAUGUCAGGUUAGUAUUGACCUUAUCAGCUUGCAUGCUUAGUUUUGGGUCAUCUUUUUGAUGCACUUUUCGGUUAACAAGUCAACAUCAAUUUCCUUUGCUGUAAAAAGGUAAGAGGAAGGUGGCUUCAAUUUCGGUUGAAGUGUUUAUAGCCUUUUAUCUCUGCAGUCGGGGAGAUUGAGGUCUGCAGCGUAGAUCCUUCGGGGCUAGAUACAUUUAUGCUAAGUUAUAGCUUUUCAUAGACAACUUGUUGACUAUGUUUAGUCAUGUAGCUUACUCGUAAGUGCUAUUUUACCUACGCUUAGGAUGUUGAGCGCAUGUCUCUCUCU
rnacentral:rRNA from 1 species